rnacentral:rRNA from 1 species
GCAAGUCGAGCGGACCGACGGGAGCUUGCUCCCUUAGGUCAGCGGCGGACGGGUGAGUAACACGUGGGUAACCUGCCUGUAAGACUGGGAUAACUCCGGGAAACCGGGGCUAAUACCGGAUGCUUGAUUGAACCGCAUGGUUCAAUCAUGAAAGGCGGCUUCGGCUGCCGUUUACAGAUGGACCCGCGGCGCAUUAGCUAGUUGGUGAGGUAACGGCUCACCAAGGCGACGAUGCGUAGCCGACCUGAGAGGGUGAUCGGCCACACUGGGACUGAGACACGGCCCAGACUCCUACGGGAGGCAGCAGUAGGGAAUCUUCCGCAAUGGACGAAAGUCUGACGGAGCAACGCCGCGUGAGUGAUGAAGGUUUUCGGAUCGUAAAGCUCUGUUGUUAGGGAAGAACAAGUACCGUUCGAAUAGGGCGGUACCUUGACGGUACCUAACCAGAAAGCCACGGCUAACUACGUGCCAGCAGCCGCGGUAAUACGUAGGUGGCAAGCGUUGUCCGGAAUUAUUGGGCGUAAAGCGCGCGCAGGCGGUUUCUUAAGUCUGAUGUGAAAGCCCCCGGCUCAACCGGGGAGGGUCAUUGGAAACUGGGGAACUUGAGUGCAGAAGAGGAGAGUGGAAUUCCACGUGUAGCGGUGAAAUGCGUAGAGAUGUGGAGGAACACCAGUGGCGAAGGCGACUCUCUGGUCUGUAACUGACGCUGAG